rnacentral:lncRNA from 1 species
GAAGGGAGUGACCUCCUCUGGAACUCCUUGGCCACUUCAGGAAGGAAGAGUAGAUUUUAACAUGGGGCGCAGCUUACGUCGUAUUUGCUGGUACAUCCCAGAGCAUCCCGGAUUUGUCUGAGGAAAAGCCAAAGGCAGAUUGGGAAGCUCCGCAGCAGCCCUUGGAGACCUCCUCAGCCCCAGGAGGGGACAGCUCAGCCUGGGUCACUGCGGUUUCUGCAUCUGCUAAGGAAACAGAUGCCCUGCCUGGUAUUCAUGUCGUAAAUUUUCUGGGAUCCAUUUCUAAAGGUAUUUAAU